GGAUGAAAUUACGUGAGUAAAGUGUUAAAGAAUCAGAACUAAUUGAUAAAAUAUUGAAGCGAAACAGCAGGUGAUCGAUCUCAUUGUUUAAUUCAGUACUGAAGGUCUUUGUGGUAAAAAUGAAGAGAGAAAAAAAACUGCUGAUGACGAGACAUUUAGCACUGAGUGCUGCUGCACUCAGAGCUAGAGGAUCGUCGGUGGCCUUCGAUAAAUUCACUCUACAUCGUAGUGCUCCCGUCAAUGACUCAUGCACGCACACCGGUGAUUCAUUCAUACACAGGUCACAAUUUUUUUCGCGAAGGCUGAUAACUGGAGUAUAAAUAUUACCUUUGUUUAAUUGAAUAAAUGAACAAGUGGGUGAAAUUGGAAUUAAUGAGAAUUGACGCCUGAACGGAAGUUUGGGUGAUCGAAACUUUCCUAUCGAAGUUUAUUUUCGUAUCGGAAUGAACAAAUCGGACAGCUGCCAACUCUAUUUUUCGGUGUGAGAUAUGCAGACAAUUUUUUCUUGCAACACAAAUGAUAACAAACAUGAAGGAAAAACAUUCAAAUUGUCACUGUAUUAUUAGGGAAAUUAUGUAAAUAAGUAAAGUUCCUGAUGAUUAUUCUCGAAAAAAUUGAAAUGGAAAUUCAUAAAAAAUAUGUGCUCGGCGGUCCGUUGUCAUUUGAGUUAUAAUGAAUAUUAUUUCUGCAGGCGAUGAAGGAAUAAAUCAAUAUUUGGAAACAGUCAGGCGGAUGACUCGCUAGCGUGGGCGACCGGAGUGCGAUUUCCCAUGCAUUUGAGCUUAUUCUGAAUCAGUUAAUUGCAGUUACGGUGAUCUAUGAAUUAAAUCACGAAAUUAACGUUUAAUUAAGAUACAAAAAUUUGACCAUUUUCGGGGAUAAGAUAAGACAUAUCAUUCCUAAUUAUUGAUUGAGAAGGCACGUUAAUUUGUAGGAGGUGAUGAUGAGGAUCAAUGUGUUGGGACUUCAAAAAUAUUAAUAAGUCUGCCUUCUGUUGCUCCUUAAGACCCUUUUUGGCUAGAAUUUUUCAACCGAAAUACCCGGCACUGUGAUGUAACAAAAGAUUUACAACGUAGUACUCGAAUAAUUGUAACCGAACUUGUAAUGAAUCAAAGUCCACUUUGUCGUUGGCCGAUAUUUCGAGAUGAUGCUUCAAGACUCGCGUGCUAAUCUGCUCUUUACGUCGGAAAAUCUACUUGAAAGGAAGUUAUUCAUACCAGCUUAUUGAGAGGUAUCAAUAGACACUCAUUUUCAUUUUUACUCCUUCCAAAACCUCAUGAAUAUUCAUACUGAGUCUUCAAGUCUCUGUCAGCUUUCGAUGAGACAAAAGAGCCGUUGUGAUGUUGUGAAUGCCACACCCUGGUAUAAUUCAACGCGUGGAAGCACCUACACCCACUUGUUGUGCAUGAGUACACGUGCACUUGGUUAUGGCUCGCUUGGCGUGCAGCAGAAUCAUAAAUUCCUGAAUUAGAUAUUGGGACGAAUUCAAUUAAGUCCUCUGGUAUAAUGGUAGACGUACGAAAAUCCUUAGGAGAGUGCGCAAAUUAUGUUAUUAAUUUGAUAAAAUCGUCCUGAAUGUCGGCAUAAUUGGUGUUAAUGGGGGCAUGGGAAUUUCAAGCGAAAAUAAAUCAAUGAGAAAAUUGAACAUAAUUGCCCACUCUAUUUUUCAGUGUGAGAAAUACUCGACAUUUUUUGAUGGAUAGUGCUGGAAUUUUCCAAAAUUCUUUACAUUUUGAUUCUUGAGUGAAAAUAAACUACGAAAGACACUUGAGAGUAAGCAUAAGUUGUCAGACUUUCAAUGAAUAUUUGUGUGAAAUUCAUAAAAAAAGGACAAAAGUAUUCCUACGAUUUCGCGAUACUUCAGUAAAAUUUUGUGAAUUUUGGUUGGCAUACAUCCAGUAUCAUGAAUUCUUGAAUUAGAUUUUGGGACGAAUUCAAUUUGCUGCACUAGUUUGCGAUAAAAUGGUGCCAUUAAUUGAUCAACAUUGCUCGGAAUAAUGGAAUAAUCAGUGCUAACGUGGGAAUUAGAACUUUCAAGCACAAAAAUUAAUGAAUGAAUGGAAAUUCACUGAUAAAGCAGUUCCAUUUGGCAUAGCACAUUUGCAAGUGCACAAUAACUAGAUCGACUGUCCCACUUCUUUCGUUUAAUUCAUUAAAGUACAAAUGUAUGCUGUACUGGUUUCAAUUAGUUAUGUUAGGGGUCAAACGAUUUUUGUACAAGUCCCAGCAGCUAAGGGAUUGCACACGACUGAAAUAGAAUAUUCGAGAGGUUUUAUCUCACACAACUAACGAAUGCCAAGAAAAAAUCAGAGUGCUAGUGUGGUCCUUGUAUACUUUGGAUUGAUUUACUAUUGCCAUUGUUAUAAAUAGUGGAUGUGUUUAUUGCCGACAACAUCAGUGCUGAGUGGAACCAAUGGAAAUUUUUUUUAAGAAAAAAUUGUAAUUUCUCCUACGCGGAAUGUUAGUGAU